UACAGAGGUCUCAAGCGUUGUUCGGAUUCAUUGGGCGUAAAGGGUGUGUAGGUGGCGCCGUAAGUCGGGUGUGAAAUUUCGGAGCUUAACUCCGAAACUGCAUUCGAUACUGCGGUGCUUGAGGACUGGAGAGGAGACUGGAAUUUACGGUGUAGCGGUGAAAUGCGUAGAUAUCGGGAGGAACCCCGGUGGCGAAGGCGGCGACCUGGGUCGAUACUGACGCUGAGGUGCGAAAGCGUGGGGAGCAAACAGG
rnacentral:rRNA from 1 species